GCCAUUCACCAGGGGAGUCCCGGCAAGGGGCUGAGAUACUGCUGGCUUUUGCAGUGACCCGUUGAACCUGAUCCAGUUCAUACUGGCGUAGGGACGGUGCAAGCGCU
rnacentral:ncRNA from 1 species